GUCACAUUAUGUUGAAACACUGGUUCUCAUACGAUCACCAAAGUUAAGCAACAUCAAGCCUGGUCAGUACAUAGAUGGGUGACUGCUUAGGAAUACCAGUUGUUGUAAG